ACAGAGGGUGCGAGCGUUGUUCGGAAUUAUUGGGCGUAAAGGGCGCGUAGGCGGCGCCACAAGUCACCUGUGAAAUCUCCCGGCUUAACCUGGGAACUGCGUCUGAUACUGGACGGCUUGAGUAUGGGAGAGGGAUGUAGAAUUCCAGGUGUAGCGGUGAAAUGCGUAGAUAUCUGGAGGAAUACCGGUGGCGAAGGCGGCAUCCUGGACCAUUACUGACGCUGAUGCGCGAAAGCUAGGGGAGCAAACGGGA
rnacentral:rRNA from 1 species